GCGCCCUUAGCUCAACGGAUAGAGCGCUUGGCUUCGGACCAAGAGGUUGGGGGUUCAAAUCCCUCAGGGCGCG
rnacentral:tRNA from 2 species